UAUUACUCCCGAGACCUAUCCCUAUAUCAUCCGUUUGCGUAAAUACUCAACUUUUUGUUUCUGACGCGCCAAUGAGCAAUGUAUGUUUGACGAGAAGAGCCUGAUUUGGGAGAAGAAACGUCUGAAAUCCGAAUUGAAGCUUCAACGGCCCUAAACCCACAACAUUUGGUCCCUAGCGGAACAUCAAAAGCGGCCUCCGCUAUCCAUACCAUGGACUUAGGGGCUGGAGUUGCUACAAUAGAUUGUUUUGCUGAAAGCCAGUCCAUUGCAUGUCAAGAUAAUGUGGUUCCUGAACCAUUUAUUGGGAUGGAGUUCGAGUCAGAAGAUGCUGCCAAGGAAUUUUAUGAUGACUAUGCUAGGCGUGUUGGGUUUAUCAUGCGCAUUGAUCAGUGCCGGCGUUCAGAAGUUGACAAGAGAAUCCUUUAACGACGACUUUCAUGUAACAAGCAGGGCUAUUAUGUGAAAAAUGAAAAACCAUUAUGGACCACCCCGAAAAGCACGCACCAGCAGACGAGAAGGGUGCAAGGCAAUGAUGUGGGUAGAGGUUAACAAGUUUGAUAAGUUGGCUGUGACGAGAUUUGUUAAGGAGCAUACCCAUCCAUUGGUGCCUUCUGGCUGUUCUUCUGGUAAUGCAAUGGAUAAAAAGGACAGGAGAAUCCAAGAACUGUCUAUGGAGUUGGAGCGUCAGGAUAAAUUAUGUGACCUUUACAGAGAGCAGCUAGUUACUUUUUUGGAAAAUGUUGAGCAGCAGAUGGAGCUUUUGUCGAAGAAAAUUCAAGUUGCCGUUAACAACAUAAAAGAAGUAGAAGCAGAAGUUCAAAAGCAACCAAAUAGCCAGUAGCCAUGUCUAACUGAAGCAGCAACUUAGUUGUUUUCGUACGAGCAACUGUAGGAUGAUGCAUCCAGCAGAGAAUGGGAGAUUGUUGAACUGUAGUUCCAUAAGUUACGGUGCAUCAAACCGUUUUGGAGAUAGUUGACACGGAAAAAGAAUUACUCACACAUGGUGUUUAUACCAAACAAUAUUAGUUUACCAUGGUUAAUGAUACAAAUGAGGAGGCAAUGUGUAAACGCAGAAUGAAUAAAUUUUUUUAUUGAUGCUGGGUGUAGUACAUGUAAAGUUAGCCAUUUGACGGGUUAAUAGAAGUAGUUUGUGGCCUUCUCGGUAAAGUGUACAUAUUUGAAUGCUAUGAGUGUAUGGGAAUCAUCUAUC